UACGUAGGGGGCUAGCGUUGUCCGGAAUCAUUGGGCGUAAAGCGCGUGUAGGCGGUUCGGUAAGUCCGCUGUGAAAGUCGGGGGCUCAACCCUCGGAUGCCGGUGGAUACUGUCGGACUAGAGUGUUGCAGGGGAGACUGGAAUUCCUGGUGUAGCGGUGAAAUGCGCAGAUAUCAGGAGGAACACCAGUGGCGAAGGCGGCUCACUGGCCCGAUACUGACGCUGAGGCACGAAAGCGUGGGGAGCAAACAGG
rnacentral:rRNA from 1 species